AGGUAGGCAACCCAACAGCCGCCCUCGGACACGCCUGACCCGGCAGCCGAGAGGUAGCGCCACCUCGGAGCGAGUGCGAGAGAGACAGCGGCCGGCCUGACGUGCCGCCGCGCGAGUCAGUCGAGAGUACACGAGCGGAGCGGACGGACGAGACGGUCAGCAGACGACGAGACGCGUCGACCUCGUUUGCGGUACACACUGUGUUGUGCGCGUUCGACAGUAUUGUGCUCCAGCUCUCCAUCAUCAAUAUGGAUUACUUUCACCAAACCAAGCCCGCAAGGGCUUCGGUGACCCGGCGAAAUGCCGCCAUGAUGGGCUAGGCCCCACUGUGACUCGCCUCCCGAAGCCGCCGCCAAUGCCUACUACCGCCCCACUCUACUUUGGACGCCGAGGAUGUCGACGGGCCCAAACUCCACCAGGCCGCCCCUCCCGGGUCGCCUCGCCCGCCGCCGCACAGGCCGCGCGCAGCUCAGCGCCGCGCCGCCCCCCAGCGCCCUCCCCCUUUCCCACUCCCACUUCAAUCAGCUGUUGGAAUGGAGUGACUGUGUUUGUCACUGUGUGACGAAACUUACUGUAACUUGAGUGUUAUAGUUAAAUGUGUGUUAUGUGUUGGUGUUUCCAAUAUGUAAUUCUGAAAAUGUAAAUGUGAAUGUGAAAUGUGAGUGUUGUGUGUGGGUGGUGGCGCCGCCCCCAUGCACCUGUUCAUGCAACCUGCGUAGGAUUCAACUCUGGUGAGUUAACAAAUUUCUUAUAAAUCUGGGCCCAGUAUAGAAAAGCUUACCUCGGUUAUGAGGUUAAACUUUGUUCGAAUGGAUUAUCAUUCUUAAUUAAUUUUGGCAGUGUGUCUGCUUUUGUCUGUGUAGUCUAAGACUCUGGACAUGUUGUGUAACGGUGAUUGCAUUGUUACUUAGGGUAUUAUUGUAGGGUUCCCAUGUUUAUAUUGUACUUGUGAUUGUAUGAUGUGAGUGUAAUUGUGAUUUUUGCCAUCUUGAGGGACGCCUCUUAAAGCUUUAUCUUUGUUGUUGAUAACCUUGAUCACAAAAUAGUAUUAAACUACUUAAAUAUAUUUGC